UUCCCUGUUGGUCCAGUGGUUAAGACUCUGCACUUAUACUGCAGGGGCCACAGGUUUGAUCCCUGGUCAGGGAAG